rnacentral:ncRNA from 2 species
UGCAUCCGAAUGGGGUGUCCCGCCCGGAGCGGGACUGAGAUCACACCCAUGGAACCUGACGCAGUUCGGACUGCCGUAGGGAUUUCGGAUCGCCGGACGC